GAUUGUUCUUAAUAUUCAUAAAUGCAAAAGCCCAAGUACAAUAAGUCGAAGCAGAUGCGGAAUCAAUGAUUUGUACAAAAUACUUUGCUUGAAAUUAUUGAGUCAAGAGUUAUCACAUGAGAACAGCACUGAUAGGCUUGCAACAAAGUCUCAAAAAGAGGAGCUACUAACAGUUCCACCAAAUUUAGCUAGAACUGUAUAGGUCUAAAACAACUUCAUCUACUAAUUCUUGGAGAAUAUGCCUAGCAACUUCAGUGCCACAUUCAUAUUCUUCAAUCUCAAAGUCCGUACAUUUACCCAAAACAUGGAUCAUAUCCCAUUCUAUGAGCUCGUCUGGGAUCAAACCAACAAAUUGUGUCCACUCUUCGACCUCAUCAAUAAUAUCAGCAAUAAAGAUCUCUUUGGUCAUACUUGAUGGUAGUUUGGUACAGGUUCUGAAACCGGAAUCAGAGAUUGGAGAAAAUUUUGAGUCUAGGUACUCUAAUAGAAAA